CCGCGAAAACUAUUUAGGUAGUGCGUCGACCGAAUACACCAGGAGGUAGAGCACUGGAUGGGCUAUGAGGACUCACCGUCUUACUGAUCCUAACCAAACUCCGAAUACCUGGGAGUACUAGUCGGCAGACACACGGCGGGUGCUAACGUCCGUCGUGAAGAGGGCAACAACCCUGACCUCCAGCUAAGGUCCCCAAGUCAUGGCUAAGUGGGAAAGGAUGUGAGGAUCCCAAAACAACCAGGAUGUUGGCUUAGAAGCAGCCAUCAUUUAAAGAAAGCGUAACAGCUCACUGGUCUAAUUAAGGGUCUUUGCGCCGAAAAUGUAUCGGGAAUUAAGCCAUGUACCGAAGCUUAGGGUGUGUACGCAAGUAUACGCGGUAGCGGAACGUUCCGUAAGCCUGUGAAGGAGGACCCGUGAGGGCCUCUGGAGGUAUCGGAAGAGCGAAUGCUGACAUGAGUAACGAGAGGAGUGUGAGAAACACUCCCGCCGAAAGUCCAAGGGUUCCUGCGUAAAGCUAAUCUGCGCAGGGUGAGCCGGCUCCUAAGGCGAGGGCGAAAGCCGUAGUCGAUGGGAACCACGUUAAUAUUCGUGGGCCAGCAGGUGGUGACGAAUUCAAGAAGCUGUCUGAAGUUAUCGGAUUCAGAAGGCAGUCAAUGAGUUCCAGGAAAUAGCCCCUGCAUCAGACCGUACCCGAAACCGACACAGGUGGACAGGUAGAGUAUACCAAGGCGCUUGAGAGAACGAUGCUGAAGGAACUCGGCAAAUUACCCUCGUAACUUCGGGAGAAGAGGGCCCCGUCCAUGGGCAACCAUAGGCGGGGGGCACAGGCUAGGGGGUGGCGACUGUUUAACAAAAACACAGGGCUCUGCGAAAUCCUAAGAUGACGUAUAGGGCCUGACGCCUGCCCGGUGCCGGAAGGUUAAGAGGAGGGGUGCAAGCUCCGAAUCGAAGCCCCGGUAAACGGCGGCCGUAACUAUAACGGUCCUAAGGUAGCGAAAUUCCUUGUCGGGUAAGUUCCGACCUGCACGAAUGGCGUAACGACCUCCCCACUGUCUCCAGCAUCGGCUCAGUGAAAUUGAAUUCCCCGUGAAGAUGCGGGGUAAUUGCGGUCAGACGGAAAGACCCCGUGCACCUUUACUAUAGCUUUACACUGGCAUUCGUGCUGGCAUGUGUAGCAUAGGUGGUAGGCUUUGAAGCGGAGGCGCUAGCUUUCGUGGAGCCGCAAUGUGAAAUACCACCCUUGUUGACAUGGAUGUCUAACCGCGGUCCCUUAUCGGGAUCCGGGACAGUGUAUGGUGGGUAGUUUG
rnacentral:rRNA from 1 species